CUUUAAGGCCAAGGUCAUUAUGAAUGGAUAAAGAAAAACACCACACCACUUCAACAACCUGCUCACUGUCUAACUCAAACUACAGCUGCUGCAGAAAAGGACGCUGGUCACACAGUAAAGGUAUCAAGAAGGACACUCAAUGUGCGUAGACCCGGUUGAUCACAUGGCAUUUGAAGAGCUGCUCCUCUUAGAGUUUGGCUUUGGACAUGAAGAAGCUCAUAAUGGCGUUGGCACACUCAUCUGACGUCCAGCGCUCCCGCAGCAGGUUCACCUCUGCAUCGUUUACUGCGUGGAGACGCGCCUUCUCCUCCGAGCGAAUCAGCUGUUUCGACAACUUCAAACUCUGGGGCUAAAAAAAGGCACAAAGAGGAGAGAGGUUCACCAGAGGAGAGGAUCUACAGGAAGCUCCGCAUCCCCCUCCA